rnacentral:lncRNA from 1 species
CACCCGAGGGCGCGCUGGGCGGGCGGCGGCGGCAGACCACGUAGCCAGCCUGUAAGCCACAGCGGACGCAGGGGGCCGCAGCGGGUGCUCAGCCCUAGGGCCGAGCGGGAGAUGUGCGGCGAGUGCAGAAGGGCGGACCCGGGAUGUCCCGGGUUUUCGAGCGGGGAGCCGCCUGCUGAAUGCCCUUCUGCUGCCCUCCGUUCCCGCGGCUCCCCUAGGAGCCCCGCCCCGUCCAACUCUUACCCGGGCUCAUCGCCGCGGCUCAUCUCUCUCGCAACCGCCGCCGCACGCACCCGCUCCGCCGCCCCGCGCAGGGCAUCCUGUCGCCAGCGCAUCCCUCAGAGGAGUUUCAGCAUUUGGGGAUUUGAACGGCCCAUGACCAAUAUUGUGAAAGGACUUUUGUUUGCUGCAAUGAAAAGAAGACUCCUAUUUUUCAAUAAUGAAUUAACCUAAACAUGUAUUAAAAUAUGCUCAUGAAAAAAAA